UACGUAGGUGGCAAGCGCUACUCGGAAUCACUAGGCGUAAAGCGCAGGUAGGAGGUUUGGUAAGUCUGUUGUGAAAGCUCCCGGCUUAACUGGGAGAGGUCAACGGAAACUACCAGGCUAGAGUGCGGUAGAGGUAGCUGGAAUUCCCGGUGUAGCGGUGAAAUGCGUAGAUAUCGGGAGGAAUACCUAUGGCGAAAGCAGGCUACUGGACCGUCACUGACUCUGAUCUGCGAAAGCUAGGGGAGCAAACAGG
rnacentral:rRNA from 1 species